rnacentral:sRNA from 4 species
GCAGGGCGUGUUUUCGUUGCGAGAUCCCGGAUGAAGAAAGCUGUCCUGAUUCUGUCCGCCUUCGGCCUCGUUGCCGC